CAAACUGAAUUUAUGCAAAUCCGUGUUUGUGGUUUGGCUGUGGUCAGCCUCAGGAAACAGAAAUGCUGUAUAACUGCCACAUAGAAUAUAGUUUAAACCUGAGGUUUUACGGAGCGACGCAACAUGCACGGUGCCAUCUCCAGUGAUGCUUAACGGUGCAUCCGGGAUAUGAAAAGAUGACACUGCAAAUUCCCACAAACAUCAUGCAGAAUUCACGGUUUUUGGUGGCUUCUCCAGCAGUGACAGCUGCACAGGAAAAAUGCAGGCUCCUGGGUUCUUCAGAUGUAGUUUCAGCAGCAGUGCAACGUGAGUGCUCUAUCAUCCCCAUCAACAUAGUGCUCAGGUGCUCUGGCUCCGGCAGCAGCUGUAUUAGAAGUAUUUGAGAUCCUGCAGCAUCAGUGGAAAUGAAGAAGACUGAUAGAAGACUGUGGCCAUGAUUUACUGCCUGAAGCAAAGUACUGCCAGCCAAGGAUCAUGCUGUUUGGACUAUCAGACAGGAAUUGAGGAGAGAGCUACAAUCAUUGUGGAAAAUAUUCGGAUAGUGCUUACAUGAUACAUGACCAAUAAUAAAGAAAGCAAAAUUCUCUCUGUCUCAUUUUUUAAUCAUAAAAGCCACAUUAUGGUUUAUCCAGACAGAAGAUGCAGGCUUGUAAUGGUAGGCCCUAGGAAACCACCUCAAAAUGAAAUGCUGACCUGCCUAUAUGUUACAAAUCUGGGUGAGAUUUGGCCUUUACCCAUCACAUAAAUGCUCAGUUGCUGAAUGAUAUGCAAGACAAGUCAUUAUUUCCUAAAAGGAACUCUUCCAACUUAUAUUGAGAGAAGAAUUAUGGCCUUUUGCAUUUGUUGCUCAUUUUAAUUAAUAAAAAAUAAAAUACUAACAUCCACACUUAUGGCAUCACUUCAUUUAUAUAAAAUGCCUUAGCUAAGUAUUGAAAGCUAAGUUCUAGUGUAAAUUCUGACUGGCCAGUUGUGUGAUUUCAGGAAAGUCACCUGACACUUUGAGCCUAAGUUUUCAUACUUCUAAAACGAGGGGGUUGGGCCAAGGCUCAGUUGGG
rnacentral:lncRNA from 1 species